UCGCCGUUCAUGUCACAAAUGCUUUUUGUCGUCAGGCUCAGUGUGACUCCCUUGUGCUGGUUGCUAAGCAACCUCGGCUGCAUUAAUAUGCGUGGUGGAAGGGGAGCAGGGUAUACCUCUUGCCUCUGGAGUGAAAGUAACCACAACAGUGUCAGUGAAAGGCUACUGGCUCCCUCAAAGAGUCUCCCCUCUCCUCCCUCCCUCCCCUACUUAUAGCCAUCCAGCUUUCACACUCGCCUCAGAUAGUUUGGGAACCACAGCCAGACACUCAGGUAAGAAAUCAGGUUACACAUUCUGUGGAGCCAAAAGGAGUUCCCACACUGGCUGCUCAUUUGCAUUUUUGACAAUUGUUUAGGCAACAUGAAAAACAAGAAAAGAACUAGUUUCAGCUGAGACAUAUUAAAGUUUAAAACGCUUUGAGCCUUUGAUAACACAUAGGAGGCUUUGGAGGCAGAGAAAACGAAGAAUCGAACGCUUUUUUUUUUGUGAGCAUUGCGAAAUAAAGACAAAGGAAGACGGAAAUAUUCCCAUGAAACAGCUUUGUUACCCUCCCACCCCCAUCUGCCCAUCAACUGACUCCAUUCUUCAACUUGACAUCAUCCUUCCACGCAGACAAGAGGAAGAAGAAGAGAGAGGAGAAGAAGAGGUGGGGGAGUAAAUAGAUGAAACAAGGGGAGGAAGAGCAGAGAGGAGGUGGGCAGCACAGUUUCAGCUCUCACAAAGCCGAGGAGGGGAAAGUGACAGCAGCUAAAACUUGGCAACUAGUGAGAUGAAAUUCGUGGGGGAGACGGUGGAGCUCCGUGGGAGAGGGCAUCCAACAGGAACGUUAAAUUUGGAUCUCCUGGAAGACGAGUUGCUCCCCUCUGGAUCUGGUGCUGCUCCACAGCUGAAGGAUGAGAGGGGGAGACUUUCAUCUUAGUUACCAGGGAUGUUUGAGCUCCACGGGAAGGCGCCUCCUUCCUACAUCUUCAAUGCUACGUUACUCCUGAUGCUUUACAAAACUGGCCUGAGACGAAAACUGUAGAAUUUUCCAGGGAAAAUGGUAAACACUGUCCACAGUGAUGAAGAAAAGGGAAUUCAAGACAAGGAAAGUAAGGAGGAGAGCAUUUUGGCCAUGCUGGGCAUCAUUGGGACCAUCCUCAACUUGGUGGUGAUAAUCUUUGUCUACAUCUACACAACUUUGUAGACUAACUCCUGGUAAGCAUCAAGAGGGUGCACAGCAGAGGACUCUCAAGACUCCAAGCAGCUGUGAGAAAACAUGGGGGGAGCCAGGAUGAGGCUGAACUUUUCCAGUGCCAGCAAGCAUCUAAAAAUGUGUGACUGCCACACGGCAUCUAUCCGGCAGCACUUUGAACAAUGGAGACAAUGGAAAACUUUCAUGCUCUGUUUGGAUUUUCUGGUAGAAUUGUACAGAAUAUUGGAUCCACUUCUGACUUGUCAAUAUCCAUAAAGAAAACAAAAGACAGAACAUUUCUAAUUUUUAACAAAAUGUGGAAUUAAAUGUCUAGUUUGAAAAAGAGCAUCUCAUCAAGGGAUUUAGGAGCAGAAAAAUUAACCAUGUUAGAUUUGCUUUCAUUUGGAUAAUGAUGGAGAGAACAGCAAUUGCAAUUUUUUUAUUGUUUUUAUUUUUAACCUUUACAAAUAUCUAUAUAGACAAAUGUUAAAAAGAAGCGUGUCACAAAUGUUUUAUUUAAAACGAGUGAUUGUUUGUCUUGUAUAAAAAAUAAUCCAAAUUUAAGAAAAAUUAUGAAGUUUUGUGAAAAUGGGUAAACUAAGAACAAAUAAAAACGAGUUUGAGCUAACAACUCAUUCACAAUUGAACAUGAUUGACAUAAGAUAAUGUUUAAGCUGUGAAAUUUUCCAAAUUGUGUGCAAAAAACUAAGUUCCUCUAAAUUUGACCCAUACAACACAUCUCCAUGUGUGGAGAUGGUGUUUGGUCCUAGUCGGAUGUAGAUUUACUCUCUUUAGAGUUUUUGGUCAUCUUUAAUGCAUAAUAAUGCUAUUUCAGAUUCUCUUUACGGGUGAAAUAUCUGGACUUUGUGCAAACCAAUUCAGGACCUUGACUUGUCUUGAUUCAAACCAAUCAGUUACAAGAGGACCUGGCUGCAGACAAAAGCAUGAUGCCCAGACAUCAAUAGCCUGAUGUUUCCCACUCCUCCUCAUUUCCGACUAAAAACACUCCUUUUUUGGUCAUAAGACUAGUUUGACUGGUGACCCUGACAAUUACGUUUCUUACCUUUAACACCGAAGAUGUCUCUGUCAAAACCACCUAUGCUCUUUGACAUACCGGUACUCCUUCCGUGAUCAAUGUGAAUCAGCUGCUCCGCAGAGAAAAGCAGCUUUGUGCUUGUAAGCAACACUUUAAAGUGACUUUUCACGGAUAAGCAACACAGCAACACAUUACAUAAAGCAUUGCAGACGAACGCAAAACUGGUUUUCGACAGAAUAAGCUGAAUCAUGUUGAUCACGUUUAUAGUUACUGUUGUCAAAGGAAGGUAAACACUGGAGCUAAAGCUCUGGUGAAAAAAGGGUUAACAGUUUUACAAACACUUUUUUAAAAUCAAUUGUGAAAGGAAUGAAACGAUUACAAUUUUUUUUGCCCCGUUUAAAGCUUUUUUUGCACAUUAAACUGUCUGCCCACAUUAAAAAGUUUUAAUAAAAUGUGUUACAAUAUUAAAAACAGAUUUUGUUUGGAGUGGAACACUGCAAUAACAUGUUUGUAUACUUUAUCUUUAAGCCGUCAUAGUUUGUUUUGUAGCAUGCAAAUAACCGAAACCCCUGACAUUUAUGCUGAUCUAAGGUCUCCUUACCGACAAGAAUGUUCCAAAUGGAUCAAUCUUCACUCCUGAAAGACUCUGCUCUUCUAACUUAUGUCCUUUUUUUUAGCUAAUUAUGUUGCAGAUGUGACAUCAGUGAAUUUAUUAAAAUAGAAAGCACUUUCCAGCUGAACAUUUUGAAGUUUCUGGCUUUUUUUGGCCCCAACUACUUUAAGACUCUUUGCACAUGUGAAAUUUAACAUGAUCUUAAGAAGUGCUAAACAGUGUUAUUGUGUCAUCUAUGGGUUUUUUCAAGCAAAAUACUGACUGAUUUGAUUUAAAAACCUAUUAAGUUUUUAUUUCAUUUUGAGUAAUGUCCCAAGUUCCAAAAUACAUGGACUCGGUGGAGGGUUAACAGUUACAUUGCAAAAAUAAGUAGCACUAAUUUGAAAUAUCCUAAAUGAAUUACACAUAAAAGGUGUAGAACUAUAAGGUGUAAUAGAAAAAUCUUUGCAUAUAUUGGAAAAUAUCUGGAUUUACAAGAAAGUCCAAAUGAUGACCAUAACAUGAACUGUUUCUCCCAAAUGUAUAUAGAACCUACGGUUUGUCAGUUUAUUACAGGCAUUUAUUAGCCAUUUAUUGUAGUUUAUAAAUAAGUGAUUUAAAUUAGAAUUUUUGUGUUGACUGUCUGCCUUAAAACUGAAAGACAUUUUUUGUGAUUUAUAAAACGAUAAUGUCAUUUAGCUGUGAAUUAUUUUGACCUUUGUGCUUCACUAACACACUGACUAUACUCAACUCUUGAGUCAUGCAACAUUAAACUUUGUACUUCUUUGA